rnacentral:rRNA from 1 species
GAGUUUGAUCUUGGCUCAGAUUGAACGCUGGCGGCAGGCCUAACACAUGCGAGUCGAGCGGUAGAGAGAAGCUUGCUUCUCUUGAGAGGCGGCGGACGGGUGAGUAAUGCCUAGGAAUCUGCCUGGUAGUGGGGGAUAACGCUCGGAAACGGACGCUAAUACCGCAUACGUCCUACGGGAGAAAGCAGGGGACCUUCGGGCCUUGCGCUAUCAGAUGAGCCUAGGUCGGAUUAGCUAGUUGGUGAGGUAAUGGCUCACCAAGGCGACGAUCCGUAACUGGUCUGAGAGGAUGAUCAGUCACACUGGAACUGAGACACGGUCCAGACUCCUACGGGAGGCAGCAGUGGGGAAUAUUGGACAAUGGGCGAAAGCCUGAUCCAGCCAUGCCGCGUGUGUGAAGGAGGUCUUCGGAUUGUAAAGCACUUUAAGUUGGAGGAAGGGCAGUAAAUUAAUACUUUGCUGUUUUGACGUUACCGACAGAAUAAGCACCGGCUAACUCUGUGCCAGCCGCCG